rnacentral:tRNA from 1 species
GCACCAGUAGUUCAAUGGCUAGAAUGUUGGCCUUCCAAGCCGAUGAUCCGGGUUCGAGUCCCGGCUGGUGCA